rnacentral:rRNA from 1 species
UACGAAGGGGGCGAGCGUUGUUCGGAUUUACUGGGCGUAAAGGGCGCGUAGGCGGCCCUCCUUGUCGCGUGUGAAAGCCCCGGGCUCAACCUGGGAAUUGCGCGCGAAACGGGGGGGCUUGAGUUCGGGAGAGGAGCGUGGAAUUCCCAGUGUAGAGGUGAAAUUCGUAGAUAUUGGGAAGAACACCCGUGGCGAAGGCGGCUCUCUGGGACGGUACUGACGCUGAGACGCGAAAGCGUGGGGAGCGAACAGG